CGUGAAGUUGGAAUUGCUAGUAAUCGCGGAUCAGCAUGCCGCGGUGAAUACGUUCCCGGGCCUUGUACACACCGCCCGUCACACCAUGGGAGCCGGUAAUACCCGAAGUCAGUAGCCUAACCGCAAGGAGGGCGCUGCCGAAGGUAGGAUUGGCGACUGGGGUGAAGUCGUAACAAGGUACC
rnacentral:rRNA from 1 species